GACCAACGUUCUUGAGUAUGGGAAGCUGAUCUCCAAGGAGAUCUAUGAGAAACAACGUGAUACGGGCCCAGCGACACUUCUUUGCCUGUGUGACAGUGUUCUUCAGCAAGAGGUGAACGAGGCAGUCGUGGCCUUCUUUGGAUUGCUCAAGCACAAUGCAGCCUCUAAACCCGAGGAGCUCAAGAGACAAUGCGAGGCAGUACUCAUUAGCGAGGUGAAUCUGCCGUGCGAU